UCCGACCUCAGAUCGGACGAGAUUACCCGCUGAAUUUAAGCAUAUCACUAAGCGGAGGAAAAGAAACU
rnacentral:rRNA from 12 species